GAAAGACUCUCGGCAACGGAUAUCUCGGCUCUUGCAUCGAUGAAGAACGUAGCGAAAUGCGAUACUUGGUGUGAAUUGCAGAAUCCCGUGAACCAUCGAGUCUUUGAACGCAAGUUGCGCCCGAAGCCAUUAGGCUGAGGGCACGCCUGCCUGGGUGUUGCAC
rnacentral:rRNA from 2 species